GAUGAACGCUGGCGGCGUGCCUAAUACAUGCAAGUCGAGCGAACGGACGAGAAGCUUGCUUCUCUGAUGUUAGCGGCGGACGGGUGAGUAACACGUGGAUAACCUACCUAUAAGACUGGGAUAACUUCGGGAAACCGGAGCUAAUACCGGAUAAUAUUUUGAACCGCAUGGUUCAAAAGUGAAAGACGGUCUUGCUGUCACUUAUAGAUGGAUCCGCGCUGCAUUAGCUAGUUGGUAAGGUAACGGCUUACCAAGGCAACGAUGCAUAGCCGACCUGAGAGGGUGAUCGGCCACACUGGAACUGAGACACGGUCCAGACUCCUACGGGAGGCAGCAGUAGGGAAUCUUCCGCAAUGGGCGAAAGCCUGACGGAGCAACGCCGCGUGAGUGAUGAAGGUCUUCGGAUCGUAAAACUCUGUUAUUAGGGAAGAACAUAUGUGUAAGUAACUGUGCACAUCUUGACGGUACCUAAUCAGAAAGCCACGGCUAACUACGUGCCAGCAGCCGCGGUAAUACGUAGGUGGCAAGCGUUAUCCGGAAUUAUUGGGCGUAAAGCGCGCGUAGGCGGUUUUUUAAGUCUGAUGUGAAAGCCCACGGCUCAACCGUGGAGGGUCAUUGGAAACUGGAAAACUUGAGUGCAGAAGAGGAAAGUGGAAUUCCAUGUGUAGCGGUGAAAUGCGCAGAGAUAUGGAGGAACACCAGUGGCGAAGGCGACUUUCUGGUCUGUAACUGACGCUGAUGUGCGAAAGCGUGGGGAUCAAACAGGAUUAGAUACCCUGGUAGUCCACGCCGUAAACGAUGAGUGCUAAGUGUUAGGGGGUUUCCGCCCUUUAGUGCUGCAGCUAACGCAUUAAGCACUCCGCCUGGGGAGUACGACCGCAAGGUUGAAACUCAAAGGAAUUGACGGGGACCCGCACAAGCGGUGGAGCAUGUGGUUUAAUUCGAAGCAACGCGAAGAACCUUACCAAAUCUUGACAUCCUUUGACAACUCUAGAGAUAGAGCUUUCCCCUUCGGGGGACAAAGUGACAGGUGGUGCAUGGUUGUCGUCAGCUCGUGUCGUGAGAUGUUGGGUUAAGUCCCGCAACGAGCGCAACCCUUAAGCUUAGUUGCCAUCAUUAAGUUGGGCACUCUAAGUUGACUGCCGGUGACAAACCGGAGGAAGGUGGGGAUGACGUCAAAUCAUCAUGCCCCUUAUGAUCUGGGCUACACACGUGCUACAAUGGACAAUACAAAGGGCAGCGAAACCGCGAGGUCAAGCAAAUCCCAUAAAGUUGUUCUCAGUUCGGAUUGUAGUCUGCAACUCGACUACAUGAAGCUGGAAUCGCUAGUAAUCGUAGAUCAGCAUGCUACGGUGAAUACGUUCCCGGGUCU
rnacentral:rRNA from 1 species